rnacentral:lncRNA from 1 species
AGCUGUUAAACCUCCUGGAAAAACUGGAAACGUGCCUUACAUGAAAACGUGUGAAUCAGGCAAAGAAGGAAUACGAGUGAAAAUCCCGAAGAC